ACGCGAAGAACCUUACCCAGGCUUGAACAGCGAGUGACCAUUCACGAAAGUGGACUUCCGCAAGGACACUCGUAGAGGUGCUGCAUGGCUGUCGUCAGCUCGUGUCGUGAGAUGUUGGGUUAAGUCCCGCAACGAGCGCAACCCUUGUUUGCUGUUGCCAUCAGGUAAAGCUGGGCACUCUGCAAAGACUGCCGGUGAUAAACCGGAGGAAGGUGGGGAUGACGUCAAGUCAGCAUGGCCUUUAUGUUUGGGGCUACACACGUGCUACAAUGGCCGAUACAAACCGUCGCGAGCCCGCAAGGGGGAGCUAAUCGGAGAAAGUCGGUCUCAGUUCGGAUUGUAGGCUGCAACUCGCCUGCAUGAAGUUGGAAUCGCUAGUAAUCGCGGAUCAGCACGCCGCGGUGAAUACGUUCCCGGGCCUUGUA
rnacentral:rRNA from 1 species